rnacentral:sRNA from 1 species
CUUUAUUUUCUCCAGCAGGGGCUGGGGUGCAGUGAGUUCUCCCUACCCUCCAAACCCCCUUCCUGGAUCCUGCCUCUUCCAGGCCUCCCCAGCUGCCCCUAGGAAUUAUGGCCCUGCAUGAUUGAAUCUGCUCAGCUCGCCCUGAACCUACCCCAUCACUGGCCCAUCCUCUGGCACUGCCAAGCCAUGCACCAGGCCGAGCAACGCCUGCUGAGGACACGGUGCCAAAGAUCAGCCUGUUUCCUCCUGUGGCAGGGUACACAGUCACAUCGGUCGUGUCCUCCAGGCAGGGGCGGGUGUACGUGGCCGGAGCCCCCCGGUUCAACCACACGGGCAAGGUCAUCCUGUUCACCAUGCACAACAACCGGAGCCUCACCAUCCACCAGGCUCUGCGGGGCCAGCAGAUAGGCUCUUACUUUGGGAGUGAAAUCACCUCGGUGGACAUCGACGGCGACGGCGUGACUGAUGUCCUGCUGGUGGGCGCACCCAUGUACUUCAACGAGGGCCGUGAGCGAGGCAAGGUGUACGUCUAUGAGCUGAGACAGAACCGGUUUGUUUAUGACGGAACGCUAAAGGAUUCACACAGUUACCAGAAUGCCCGAUUUGGGUCCUCCAUUGCCUCAGUUCGAGACCUCAACCAGGAUUCCUACAAUGACGUGGUGGUGGGAGCCCCCCUGGAGGACAACCACGCAGGAGCCAUCUACAUCUUCCACGGCUUCCGAGGCAGCGUCCUGAAGACACCUAAGCAGAGAAUCACAGCCUCAGAGCUGGCUACCGGCCUCC